CACACGCACACACACGCAUUCAAAGAUUUUGGGAUGCACCAUGAGUGAUGUCUGUUUACAUGAAAUAAAUGGGUCGUACCAGCGUUGGUGUGUUUUCCUGGGCCAAUGUGGGUGUAUUGUAUCUCCAGGCCACACCACCUGGAAUUUAGAGACUGAGCUAGUGGGUAGGCUAGGGGUGUUGGCCUCUAUAAGCCCCCUGGGACUCCCUCUCCUUUUCAUUAAGAGAUGCAACACAACACUUAAUGCCGG
rnacentral:sRNA from 1 species